AAGGUAGAGGUGCGGCAAAGAAAAGUAAGCGUACUGAGGACGACCAGUCCGGUGAUGUACGGUGAAAGGCGAUGCCGCCGAAGGACGGUCUCCGGUAAAUUCCGUUCUGGCUGUAUAUCAAAAAGGUAUGCGGCUGUCAUCAUUGCGUAUGGUGGAGAGCUAUCGG
rnacentral:ncRNA from 1 species